GGGAGAGCGGGCGGGGACUCUCGGAGAGGGACAGCGAGGGAAUGUCGGGCCCUGUGUGCCUUUGGGAGGUUGUCUAAAAAAGGCCGAAUCUGUUGUUUAAUAUGAAGAAAAGCAGAGGUCGGACAGGUCGAAAGAGAAGAAGAAAACACUUGAAGAGUUUUAUGGAUGGAGUCAACUGCAGUCACAAGCUAGAAUACAUUAAACUUAAGAAGUGGCUAAAAGAGAGAGGAUUUGAAGACAGUCAUUUAAGGCCAGCAGAGUUCUGGGAGACAGGACGAGGAUUGAUGACAACAAAAGCUCUUCAGGCAGGAGAUCUGAUUAUUUCCUUGCCUGAGAAGUGUUUGCUCACCACGGGCACCGUCCUCAGCAGCUGCUUGGGAGGACACAUUGUGAAGUGGAAGCCCCCCGUGUCUCCUUUGCUGGCGCUGUGCACGUUUUUGAUAGCAGAGAAACACGCUGGGGACAAAUCUCCAUGGAAGCCCUACCUGGAUGUUCUACCCAAGACUUACACUUGCCCUGCUUGUUUGGAACCUGAUGUAAUAAAUCUUCUCCCAAAGGCCUUGAAAAAGAAGGCUCAGGAGCAAAAAACGAUGAUCCAAGAGCUGUUCAGCUCUUCCAAAGCUUUCUUCUCUUCCCUGCAGCCUUUAUUUGCUGAGAACACAGGAACUAUUUUUAAUUACAGUGCUUUGGAGUGGGCUUGGUGCACUGUAAAUACCAGGACAAUCUACAUGAAACAUCCACACAGGGAAUGCUUUUCCCUAGAGCCAGAUGUUUAUGCAUUGGCACCAUAUUUAGAUUUGCUAAACCACAGCCCAAAUAUUCAGGUCAAGGCUGCGUUCAACGAGCAGACGAGGAGCUACGAAAUCUGGACAAAUUCACAGUGCAGAAAAUACCAGGAAGUUUUUAUCUGCUAUGGACCCCAUGAUAAUCAGAGGCUGCUGCUGGAAUAUGGAUUUGUUGCUGUGGAUAACCCUCACAGCAGUGUUUAUGUCUCAGCAGAUACUCUCCUCAAGUAUUUCUCACCACUGGACAAGCAGAGAAAGGGCAAAAUUUCCAUUCUAAAGGAUCAUGAUUUCCUAGAGAACCUGACCUUUGGAUGGGAGGGACCAUCCUGGAGGCUCCUCACAGCCCUCAAGGUGCUGAGCCUGGGAGCAGAUGAAUUGUGAGUUGUGGCCCCCUGAAUGUUUGGUGGAUGUGCAGGUGCCUUUGGCUUGGAUUUCCUGGAAUCACCAAGGUGGGAAGAGCCCCUCAGGAUCACCCAGUGCCACCCCAGCGCCACCAGCAUCCCCCAAACCCUGUCCCCAGGGGCCACCUCCAGACUCCUCCUGAGCACUCCCACAGACAGUGACUGCAAACCUCCCUGGGCAGCUCAGCCCAAGGCCUGACCACUCUGCCAGGGAAAUUUCCUUUCCAAUCUCCAGGCUGAGCCUCCCCUGGUGCAAUUUGAGGCCAUUUCCUCUCCUCCUUUCCCUGCCCCUCCUGUCAGGGACUUGUGCAGAGCCACAAGGUCCCCCCUGAGCCUCCUUUUCUCCAGCCUCAGCCCCUUCCCAGCUCCCUCAUCUGCUCCUCCCUUUUCCAGACCCUUCAAUAUUUUCUGUUUCCCUUCACUCUUUGCUCUCUGCUGGCUGUGAGUGACACUGGGACAACUCUUGGAUCUGCUGUGUCUGUUCUGUUGAGCUCAGGUGAGAAAAGAAGAAAGACAGAGCACACCACUGCCUGUAAACUCACUCCCCUGCUGUUUUACAACCCUUUCCACAAAAAAGAUUCCUGCUUUGGUGAUUUUCUUUCUUGUAUUGUUGUCCCUUUCUAUUUGAAGCCCCAGAUAUUUCCUCAAGGUUCAGCCUCCAGGCCUUUUCCCUGUUGGUUUGAUGAAACUUUAAAUGCUCCUAACCUGGCUUGAUUUCCUUGAGUCAUGUGUUCCACAGGCUGGGAUUCCAGGGCCAAGGAAGUUGCUGAAAUCCAUCUCCAGGACUUUUAUUCCAAAUACAAAUCUGCCUCAAACAUCAGGCAUGGAAAAUUACCAUUGCAUUUGGCUUGGAAUAAAUGAAAUGAGGGAAUAAAUUAAUGAGAAAAGGCUUGUUCAGAGUUGUUUGUGCUUUGAAGAUUCAUUGCUGAGUGGAAUAAAUUGAUCUAAGAACUAAAAAUAAAUCCCUGGGGUUGGUUACGAGCCCAGUGCCUGCUGGAGGAGGGUCCUGCUUGGUGAUGUCAGCUCAGCCAGGAAUGAACAGCAGGCUUUGGCUACAGCAGCAAAAAUCUGCCACUUUUUGAUAGAGGAGACCCAGCAUGUCCUUCUCCAG